AGAGUUUGAUCCUGGCUCAGAUUGAACGCUGGCGGCAGGCCUAACACAUGCAAGUCGAGCGGAUGAAGGGAGCUUGCUCCUGGAUUCAGCGGCGGACGGGUGAGUAAUGCCUAGGAAUCUGCCUGGUAGUGGGGGAUAACGUCCGGAAACGGGCGCUAAUACCGCAUACGUCCUGAGGGAGAAAGUGGGGGAUCUUCGGACCUCACGCUAUCAGAUGAGCCUAGGUCGGAUUAGCUAGUUGGUGGGGUAAAGGCCUACCAAGGCGACGAUCCGUAACUGGUCUGAGAGGAUGAUCAGUCACACUGGAACUGAGACACGGUCCAGACUCCUACGGGAGGCAGCAGUGGGGAAUAUUGGACAAUGGGCGAAAGCCUGAUCCAGCCAUGCCGCGUGUGUGAAGAAGGUCUUCGGAUUGUAAAGCACUUUAAGUUGGGAGGAAGGGCAGUAAGUUAAUACCUUGCUGUUUUGACGUUACCAACAGAAUAAGCACCGGCUAACUUCGUGCCAGCAGCCGCGGUAAUACGAAGGGUGCAAGCGUUAAUCGGAAUUACUGGGCGUAAAGCGCGCGUAGGUGGUUCAGCAAGUUGGAUGUGAAAUCCCCGGGCUCAACCUGGGAACUGCAUCCAAAACUACUGAGCUAGAGUACGGUAGAGGGUGGUGGAAUUUCCUGUGUAGCGGUGAAAUGCGUAGAUAUAGGAAGGAACACCAGUGGCGAAGGCGACCACCUGGACUGAUACUGACACUGAGGUGCGAAAGCGUGGGGAGCAAACAAGAUUAGAUACCCUGGUAGUCCACGCCGUA
rnacentral:rRNA from 1 species